rnacentral:lncRNA from 1 species
UGAAAGUGUUGGGAUUACAGGCGUGAGCCACCGUGCCUGGCCUAUUUUUUGUUUUAUUUUUUUAAUCUUGAAAUAACUCCACAGUUAUCUCCAAGAAAAUGGCAUCAUUGACACACCUGACAGAUGAAAACUGCUAUUAAGGUCGAGUCCAAGUGACAAAACUUUCUUGACUGUUCUGAGGCCUUGGUUACGGUGGCAUUAAAGUUCUAUACUGUUUUUUUUUUUUUUUUUUUUUUUUUGGCUGGACAACAGACUCUCCAAAAAAAUGCAUGUGUAUACAUUAUGCUUAUUAUAAAAUUUACUAAUAAAAUGACAUGGAAGACAAUUAAAAUUAUAAUAAAAUAUACAAUGCUCAACAUUUAAAUUCUAUAUGGCCAAUUGAUUCUUACAGAAUGCCUUUUUGAUUUUUGUCCAACUCUUGCAUCUGUAGUCAACCUGUGGUCGCAAUUGACAGAAGAGUUUAAUUCUUUCUUUGUGCUCUUACUCCUGGGUCCCUCAUUGUACAGUGAUCAUCAAAUGCAACAUCCUUCAUGAAAAUGAAUAGCUUCACUUUUUGGCAUUUCCUUCCUUUUUAUGUGUCAUAGAAUACACUACAUUAUUCUUGAUUUUACAGUUAAUUUGUAAAUUGUUUCUAACCCCCACUAGUUUAUAAACUCCUUAAGAAUGAGAAGCUUGCAUUAAUCACUUCUAUAUAUAUAGUGUUUUGAAUAUCCUUGGCAUUCAUUAAAUGUUUAGUGAAUUGAAUGCGAUGUUUCUUCCAGACUAUGACCAAUAAUUGUGAGAAGAUUUUAUGUGUUUUUAAAUUCAACUUUAGAGAAUUUCUUUUUGUGUAAUAGGACAUUUGUUGGACAGCAACAUGUAAUUACUCAUAAAAUGUUUCUCUGCGGAGUCCAGCAUCCUUCAUUUGUGAUAGGACUCAUCCAGUUAAAUUGCUCAGGCACUAUAAUGGACUAUUUAUGUUCUGUUGAUGUAAAUUUCUAGAACAGGCCUUUCCCUGGACUCAUGCCAUGUUUUGUAUGUUAUCUUGUGCAGGCAGCACAUGGGGACCUAGUCAGGCUUCCUGAUAUGAUAGCUGUAUAUACAGCCCAUGUCUCAGAGGGGAAUGAUAAAUUGGCCUGUGCAGUGACACAAUACACAGUUAUUUUGGUGACAGUAUUAACUCUCUUUUCAUAAGGGUGCUUUGUUGGAAAACUAUUCAGCUUAACACAGAAUAUUUAGCUUUCAAAGGUUGCAUAGGGAGAAAUGAUACUGCCAGGAUAGAAACAUUAUCAGUUUUUUCUUUCUUUUUUUUUUUUUUUAAU